CACACCGCCCGUCACACCAUGGGAGUCAGUUGCUCUAGAAGUGGUGAGCUAACCUUCGGGAAGCAGCCGCCUAAAGAGUGUCUGGUAACUGGGGUG
rnacentral:rRNA from 1 species